GGUUUCAUAGUGUAGUUGGUUAUCACAUUUGUCUAACAGUUUCCUCUGUCCCCAGAUCGAGCCUAGGUAAAAUCA